GACGAACGCUGGCGGCGUGCUUAACACAUGCAAGUCGAACGGAAAGGCCCUGCUUUUGUGGGGUGCUCGAGUGGCGAACGGGUGAGUAACACGUGAGUAACCUGCCCUUGACUUUGGGAUAACUUCCGGAAACGGGGGCUAAUACCGGAUAGGAGCUCCUCCUGCCUGGUGGGGGUGGGAAAGUUUCGGCGGUUGGGGCUGGUCUCGCGGCUUGUCAGCUGGUUGGUGGGGUAGUGGCUUACCGGGGCUUCGACGGGUAGCCGGCCGGCGAGGGUGAGCGGCCACAUUGGGACUGAGAUACGGCCCAGACUCCUACGGGAGGCAGCAGUGGGGAAUGUUGCAGAAUGGGCGGAAGCCGGAUGCAGCAACGCCGCGUGCUGGAUGACGGCCUUCGGGUUGGAACCCGCUUUCGCCUGUGACGAAGCGGGAGUGACGGUAAUGGGUAAAGAAGCACCGGCUAACUACGUG
rnacentral:rRNA from 1 species